AUAGGUGGCGGGGCUGUAACCGACCGGGGGCUAGGCGUGCUGGACGGCACACGUGACUAUCUGAGAUGGGCGGAGGUGAGCGGGGGAGAAAGAGAAGCGCCAGCGUUGACCCAGCGGGAUGGAGGGAGAGGAAGGAGACGAAUCUGGGAUGCAUCUAACGGUUCCACGAAUAGCAAUCAGACGGCUAAGGGCCGACCGGCCGAAAGGCCCCACGAUUGUGUUCGCCGCAACCGCCGCACUCCACUUGCCGCCCCCCUCACCUCUCCGCCGCACACACCCGCCCCCCUCACCUCUCCGCCGCCUGCCCCGCCUUCCCCACGUGAACCGGUUCUACGCGUCGCCCCUCAUCCUCGGCAGCGAGAGGCACGGGGGAGCUGCCGCCGGUCAAGAUGGGCGGCGGGGCGCCGGGGCGCCGCGCUCUACCUCGGCACCAACGCCCUCUGCGACGUUGAGGGCGACCACCGGGCCAUCAUCUUCGACCGCCUCGACGCUGGGGGUCGAGGACAAGAUAACCAAUCGCCGGUCUAGGUAUCCCGAGGGGACUCGCUCAUCAUCCCGUGGAUUCGAGAGGCCGGUCAUCCAGGACGUCCGCGCACGACCCAAUUUCGUGGAGAGCACCUCCGGAAGAAGGGGUCUCCAGAUGGUAGGAUGGGCUCUGCUACAUGUAAAUGGUUCUGGCAUUUCCCAUCAGUCUCCUCCCUGCCGUCAUCGUCCUUCCUGCUGCCAGCUCCGCCCUUCUCCGCCUUAUCUCCACGGCAACGAUUCUGCUCCAUCCAUCGAGGUGGAGGCUGGCCUGUAGCUCGUGUGCACGGAGGAGAAGCACACUUCACUGAGAAGUUGUUGCCACUAUCCUCGGUGCCACCGCCAGUGACGAAACUUGGUGGUGAGCCUCAUCUCGCCCCCUCUCAGUUCUUCUGUUUUGCUCUGGAUGAUCUCUGUUCAUGUUGUUAGUGUUUAAAGUAUCUCUUGUUGUUCUAGGCUUCUAGCUGAUAAUCUUGUUGGUCGCUAUCAGUGUGGUGCACAUACACCUAGGCUUUAAGUUGUUGUGAUUUUUCUAUAAGAUGUUGAGAGCAUGGAACUGAAAUUGACAUCAGAAAUAGACUUGUUAAGUGUUUGUGUUGCCACCAAUCAAAAGCUGGUAUGUAAUCUACAAACCAACAUAGUCGACCAGUGUGAUUUGAUAAAUAUGUACACUUGUACAGAAAGGAGUAUGAACAUGCAGUUAAACUUACGAUCAUCAAUUUUCCACUUUUUAAUAACUUGUGUUCUGAAGCAUUUUGUUUUCUCCAAUUACAUGAUUUAAUAAAAUAACAUAUGGCCAGUUCAUUACAAGUGUUGUUUAUUGUAGCGUAUUUCGGUCAUAUCUUCUAACAUACUUCAGGGUUGCAUUAGUGGAAAACAUGCUGGAAAGAGAGUGUUCAUCCCUAUGAUCCCUUUGGCGCCCUUGGAGGACAUUUCGCUUCCUUUCAAGUUGAUGAAGAGGAAACAGUUCCCUGUUUGUCAGAGUUAUGCAAAGACCAUUAACAUAGCCCAGGGGCAAACCAUCCCAACUGUCGGUAUUUACCUUCCGGAGCAUGUACUCUCGCAUGCCCAGGUUUAUCUUGCACUGUCAAGAGGUGUGUCAUUGCAGACAACUCGGAUUCUGGUAAAGCCAAAUAAAAUAUAGAUUCCACUGGUAAAAGCACCAAGAACAUUGUGUACGGAGAUAUCUUGUAGGGAUAACAUAGUUUUGUUAUCUAAACUUUGGAUUUUUGAUAUGGCUCCUAUAUGUACAAUAUUUUUUGGACUAACAUUAUAUAUGUUUAUAAUUGCAGCUUUUUGUCUGGUCGCACCUAUAGGCAGUAUAGAGGAUCUACUCUCAGUAAGCUCUACAGCCGAUCAUUUUUUCCGCUUCCACUACUUCUUUUACCUUACUUUACACGGUGUAAUCUGUUUCAAUGCUAUGAUGCACUAUACGUAUGUUCUGCAUCAUUUUCCUUGUUGUAUCUACUGAGACCUAUUGUUGGAGCAUUCAUUUUAUUGGGAUUCUAUAUCUAAGAUGAAAACGUAAUAAGGUGAGGUUUAGAAUUUAAUUAAGCUGAUCAAAGUGUGCUUACUGGUCAGAAUGUGCUUAUUACUGGUUUCCUAUGCUAUUUUUACGACUAUAAAAGUAAUUAUGUCCUAUGAGUCUUGGAAGGUGUGAAUUCGAAAUCAACUAUAUUUCUUGCUAUUCUGGUUUAGAUGCUUUUGAGGCCUCUGAUUCUACACUAUUCAGCCUCCUUGAUGAAUAACAGUCGACUCAGAUAAUGUUUGAGUAUGUUUCUCCUAAAGCUAACUGACCAACAUCUGAACGACUUCGACUGCUGCAUACAAGUCCAGCUAAGCACGGUGCAAGUAUAACUCUGUCAGCGGAAAUGAGAUGUAUAUAAGACGUCCUUAUUCACUUCAUUUUCUAUAUAUUCACGGAGGGGGUGUCUCGGUUUGGUUUGCUGCAGGCUUUCAUCGAUUUACUAUGUUGAUUCAUGUGUUCCUUUUAGUCAAAGGAUAAGAUUUGCGACCAGCUUCAUGUUCUCAGAUAAUACUGGUGCAUAAUGCAUUCAGGUUGCAUUUAUCAGACUGCACCUUGUUAUCAGAUUGCCUGUACAAAGACUGAAUUUUGUUGGCUGGUACUUGCGGUGAGAAGCAGCAUGCACAUGUUGUGCAUUAGUUUGGUGGAUUUCCAUAGCUUAGCAUAUGUAUGAGAAAUAUAUUAUAUACAUUUUGUAUUGGUGGUGACUCUUUUCUUUGAAAGGUCAAAUCAUUUUAUUAUUAUUGAUUGAUCAGCAGCAAGGUAAAUAGACAAGACUGAAUGGUUUCUGGAGAAAAGGCACAACGGCAAGUUGGCAAGGUUGUGGCUAGCUGCGUGUGGUGGAGAUGGUUUUGUAGUGUGUAGUGGGCAUGGGAAUCUGUUGCAUCCUGAAGUAGUCCUCAGUGUUUGUUUGGCAACCUUUCUUAUGCAAAUUUUUAUAUAGGUUCUUAAAUAUGAAUAAAAUUUUCCUCAAUUAUGAAAUUUCUUGAUCCUAGAAAUAUAAUUGAUAACUACAUAAACAUGCAUUGCACCUAAUGACAUGCUAGCGCAGCCUAAUACCUCAAUUUUCAUUCUACUCCACCCAGUUUAAAGUAGUGCAUCAACACUUAGGCCUCCAAUGGUAGUGCCUCUCCACUUGUGCUAUUUUCUGUUGCUUCAUGCGCAGGGUUAUUAUAGGUUCUUGAAGCUACUCAACCUUGUCCCCUAUAAAUUAUAGCGAGGCAUUACUCCAGUCACAAGGUGAUGCCUGCUACAUCGACAGUGAAGAUGCACACAACAUUUUGGAUAUUGUAUGAGAACUAAUUAGGCUAUUAAGAAAUACUGAGAUAAUAAUGUUAUUUGAGUAUCUGACAAUGAUCACAAGUAUUAAGAAAUACUGAUAAAAUAAUA